UAUGGAAUCUUCGGCAAUGGACGAAAGUCUGACCGAGCAACGCCGCGUGAGUGAAGAAGGUUUUCGGAUCGUAAAACUCUGUUGUUAGAGAAGAACAAGGACGUUAGUAACUGAACGUCCCCUGACGGUAUCUAACCAGAAAGCCACGGCUAACUACGUGCCAGCAGCCGCGGUAAUACGUAGGUGGCAAGCGUUGUCCGGAUUUAUUGGGCGUAAAGCGAGCGCAGGCGGUUUCUUAAGUCUGAUGUGAAAGCCCCCGGCUCAACCGGGGAGGGUCAUUGGAAACUGGGGGACUUGAGUGCAGAAGAGGAGAGUGGAAUUCCAUGUGUAGCGGUGAAAUGCGUAGAUAUAUGGAGGAACACCAGUGGCGAAGGCGGCUCUCUGGUCUGUAACUGACGCUGAGGCUCGAAAGCGUGGGGAGCAAACAGG
rnacentral:rRNA from 1 species